GCCACACCCUUGCAUUUAGUGUAUCAAUAGGUGGGCGGUAACCUGGCCCACCUCUUUGGUUAUAAAAAGGUCAUGCUGUUCAGCCACUGUGCCAUUUACUUGGUAAAACCUCUGGGUCAAAGCUUUCUCAGUUUUUGCUGUGAAGUGGAAGCCAUCUUUUACUUUUAGUAGCUUUGUUUGUGCAUUUCUCCAUCUUCUUUGAAGAUUUUGUUUCCUGAUUUGCCAGCUACAACCUGCCAAGAUGCCUCGUGGCAAAGGGUACCGUAGAGCUCAGGCCUUGAAGAACAGACAGUUUAUGCCGAAGCCUGUGGAAGAGCUGUUCGAGAUUCUGCCAAGCUGUACGGCUUUUACUCCACGUCACGGAACAGGCUUCAGGCACAGGGUUUGUCGUUGGCCCUUGUCGCCUAACACAGGAAAAAGUCUGAAAGUCAUCAUCCCACCAGAGUCUUCAGACAAGAAGGUACAUUUAGCUAAUAAUUUAUAUUAAUAUUAAACUAUAUUAUGUGCUUAUAGGUUCACACACAGAUUGCUGUGUGUUCUUUAGUUUCUAAAGUGCUUUGUGAUUUUUAUCUUCAGAGGUCCUUCAUUAAACAAUUGUUUCUUCUUCUAGUUUGUCUUUGUCAUAGGAGAUUCACAUCUCCGAGCCAUUGUGGAUGGCUAUGUGAAGGUGCCUGAGGGGAAGCUGUCCUUUGGCUACCUGUCGGUUCCUGGUGGUACAGCAGCCCACCUUACCACUGAGGUCCGGCAGUUAGUUCUCCCACGUGAACCAGAUGCAGUGUGUCUGCUCGCUCCAAGCAACAACCUGGACAGUCCUAUUUCUGAAGCAGAAAAAGACUUCAAGUGUCUUUUGAACACCAUUUCCACUCUUUGUCCAAAUGUUUUUGUUUUGGAUUUCCCUCCAAGACUGAGCCAUGACACCGUUGUGCAGGACCAUCUGAGGAUGAUGUUUCACAGGGUCUCAGUACAAAUGGAUGUCCCAUACUCAUCAAUUGCUGAGAACUUCCCCUUUCAUCGCCUGGAUUUGUGGGGCAGAGAUGGGGU